GGUCUCGAGACGCGGUUAGGCUCAAGGGUCGAUACUGCGGAUCGGGACCAUCCUCGGGAAGAGCAUGUCUGUCAUUGAGUUGAUGGGCAUGGGACUCCCGUCUUUUACUGUGAGCAAAAUAGGGUGUUCAAAGCAGGCUUACGCCGUUGAAUACAUUAGCAUGGAAUAAUAAGAUAGGACCUUGGUCUAUUUUGUUGGUUAGUUCUCCAAGGUA
rnacentral:rRNA from 1 species